UACGUAGGUGGCAAGCGUUGUCCGGAUUUACUGGGCGUAAAGGGCGCGUAGGCGGUCCGCUAAGUUCGGCGUGAAAUCCCCUGGCUCAACUGGGGAACUGCGUUGGAUACUGGUGGACUCGAGUACCGGAGAGGAGAGUGGAAUUCCUGGUGUAGCGGUGAAAUGCGUAGAUAUCAGGAGGAACACCGGUGGCGAAGGCGGCUCUCUGGACGGAUACUGACGCUGAGGCGCGAAAGCGUGGGGAUCAAACAGG
rnacentral:rRNA from 1 species